rnacentral:rRNA from 1 species
AUAUUGCACAAUGGGGGAAACCCUGAUGCAGCGACGCCGCGUGAGUGAAGAAGUAUUUCGGUAUGUAAAGCUCUAUCAGCAGGGACGAUAAUGACGGUACCUGACUAAGAAGCCCCGGCUAACUACGUGCCAGCAGCCGCGGUAAUACGUAGGGGGCAAGCGUUAUCCGGAUUUACUGGGUGUAAAGGGAGCGUAGACGGUGAUGUAAGUCAGAUGUGAAAGCCCAGGGCUCAACCCUGGGACUGCAUUUGAAACUAUCGAACUAGAGUGUAGGAGAGGUAAGUGGAAUUCCUAGUGUAGCGGUGAAAUGCGUAGAUAUUAGGAGGAACACCAGUGGCGAAGGCGGCUUACUGGACUAUAACUGACACUGAGGCUCGAAAGCGUGGGGAGCAAACAGG